rnacentral:rRNA from 1 species
CUUGAGUAAAAAUAAGAGGUCCAGCCUGCCCAGUGACAAAUGUUCAACGGCCGCGGUAUCCUAACCGUGCGAAGGUAGCGUAAUCACUUGUUCUUUAAAUGAGGACUAGUAUGAAUGGCACCACGAGGGUCGCACUGUCUCCUUCCCCUAAUCAAUGAAACUAAUCUUCCCGUGAAGAAGCGGGAAUUUAUCUAUAAGACGAGAAGACCCUAUGGAGCUUUAAAUUUCUCUUCAAACGCCAGACAUAAACCCUAAACAUCUUACACCAACCGGCGCCAUGAAGAUGAAUUUUAGGUUGGGGUGACCACGGAGAACAAGACAACCUCCACGCUGAAUAGGCCUAAAACCUUGAACUAAGGACCACAGCCCGACGAACUAAAAAAUUAACACCCAUUGACCCAAUUCUUUUUGAUCAACGAAC